rnacentral:lncRNA from 1 species
GGCAUGCACCCGGCCUGGGUGAGCCUGGUCACGCAGUCCCUGCCAUACUUUGGGAAGUCCCUGGGCUGGACGGUGACACCCUUCAUUGUCCAGAUUUGCAAAAACCUGGAUGAGUUGGUCAAGCUAAAUGAAAGUGAGUCUGUGAAGCUCUCCAUCAGCACAACCUCCAAGAAGGAAAACAUUUCACCAGAUUAUCCACUCACUCUUUUGGAAGGUCUAACAACAAUUAGUCAUUUUUGUCUUUUGGAACACCCAAACCAAAACAAGAAGGUAUGUUUUUUUCCUGCAAAUUUGAGACAGUUUUUGUAUGCUAUUUGGUGUUUGUUGGGCUGUGAUUGUUUUAGAUAAGUAAGUGAUGCAGAUAUGCAUGCAAAUAUAUGCAAGGGACGACAAUGC